rnacentral:rRNA from 1 species
CGGAGGAGCAUGUGGUUUAAUUCGAUGAUACGCGAGGAACCUUACCUGGGCUCGAACGUAAGAUGACUGUAGGUGAAAGCUUACAUCUCUUCGGAGCAUUUUACGAGGUGCUGCAUGGUUGUCGUCAGCUCGUGCCGUGAGGUGUCGGGUUAGGUCCCAUAACGAGCGCAACCCUACCUUUAGUUGCCAUCAGGUUAAGCUGGGGACUCUAAAGGAACUGCCUACGCAAGUAGUGAGGAAGGCAGGGAUGACGUCAAAUCAGCACGGCCCUUACGUCCAGGGCUACACACGUGCUACAAUGGCCGAUACAGAGGGCAGCUACCUGGUGACAGGAUGCAAAUCUCCAAAGUCGGUCUCAGUUCGGAUCGGAGUCUGCAACCCGACUCCGUGAAGUUGGAUUCGCUAGUAAUCGCGCAUCAGCCAUGGCGCGGUGAAUACGUUCCCGGGCCUU